rnacentral:rRNA from 1 species
UACGAGGGGGGCGAGCGUUGUUCGGAAUUAUUGGGCGUAAAGGGUGCGUAGGCGGUUCCGCAAGUCCUGUGUGAAAUCUUCGGGCUCAACUCGAAGUCUGCACGGGAAACUGCGGGGCUUGAGUGUGGGAGAGGUGAGUGGAAUUCCCGGUGAUAGCGGUGAAAUGCGUAGAUAUCGGGAGGAACACCUGUGGCGAAAGCGGCUCACUGGACCAUAACUGACGACUGA